UACGUAGGGUGCGAGCGUUAAUCGGAAUUACUGGGCGUAAAGCGUGCGCAGGCGGUCUGUUAAGACCGAUGUGAAAUCCCCGGGCUUAACCUGGGAACUGCAUUGGUGACUGGCAGGCUUUGAGUGUGGCAGAGGGAGGUAGAAUUCCGCGUGUAGCAGUGAAAUGCGUAGAGAUGUGGAGGAAUACCGAUGGCGAAGGCAGCCUCCUGGGCCAACACUGACGCUCAUGCACGAAAGCGUGGGGAGCAAACAGG
rnacentral:rRNA from 1 species